ACUAUUUUGGCAGAUUAGUGCAGUAAAUUUAGAAUUUAUUUAUGUAGAUGGAUCUACAAAUAGUA
rnacentral:tRNA from 1 species